GGGUGUCUCUGGAAGAUACUUGAAUCACAGGACUGAAUAAGGAAGAGCUGCCCUCAGCGUGGCCGGGCAACAUCUAAUCGGCUGAAAGCUUGGAUCGAAUGAAAAGGCAGAGGAAAGGUUCUGAAGACCUCAAAUGGACUGAGCCACACUACCAGCAUCCAGCAUCCAUGGUUCUCCAGUCUGCAGAUGGCCUAUUAUGGGACUUUUCAGUCUUCAUAAUUAUAUGAGAGAAAGAAAAUGAAAAGGAUUUGUAAACUAUAAAUCUCUAAACAGAUGGGAGGAAAGGAAUUGAUGAAACAAUAAAUUUAUUGAUGAAACAAUAAAAAUAAACAUAAAGAACCAAAGUUAUUCUCACAAUCACCACUCCUAACUUUUGAUGCUCCUGUCCAGAAAACUGAGCAAAAGAGUGGCUGAAGAAUAGGAAUGAUGAAGAGAAGAAGUAAAAACACCUGAGUCUUGUUCUGUUGUCCAGGCUGGAGUGCAAUGGCGUGAUCUUGGCUCACUGCAACCUCCCCGUCCCAGGUUCAAAUGAUUCUCGUGCCUCAGCCUCCCAGGUAGCUGGGAUUACAGGU
rnacentral:lncRNA from 1 species